CCUACGGGUGGCAGCAGUGAGGAAUAUUGGUCAAUGGGCGCGAGCCGGAACCAGCCAAGUAGCGUGAAGGAUGACUGCCCUACGGGGUGUAAACUUCUGUUAUAAAGGAAUAAAGUGAGGCACGUGUGCCUUUUUGUAUGUACUUUAUGAAUAAGGAUCGGCUAACUCCGUGCCAGCAGCCGCGGUAAUACGGAGGAUCCGCGCGUUUUCCGGAUUGAUUGGGUUUAAAGGGAGCGUAGAUGGGUUGUUAAGUCAGUUGUGAAAGUUGGCGGCUCAACCGUAAAAUUGCAAUUUAUACUGGCAGUCUUGCGUACAGUUGUGGUCGGCGGACUUCGUGGUGUAGCGG
rnacentral:rRNA from 1 species